GCGUAGGGAAACCGAGUCUGAAUAGGGCGCAAAGUUUGUCGGAUUAGACCCGAAACCGAGUGAUCUAGGCAUGGCCAGGUUGAAGGUAAGGUAACACUUACUGGAGGACCGAACCCACAUCCGUUGAAAAGGAUCGGGAUGAGCUGUGCCUAGGGGUGAAAGGCCAAUCAAACUCGGAGAUAGCUGGUUCUCUGCGAAAUCUAUUUAGGUAGAGCGUCAUCCGAAUACCCCCGGGGGUAGAGCACUGGAUGGGUAAUGGGGCCCC
rnacentral:rRNA from 1 species